AUUGAACGCUGGCGGCAUGAUUUACACAUGCAAGUCGAACGGUAACAGGCCGCAAGGUGCUGACGAGUGGCGAACGGGUGAGUAAUGCAUCGGAGCGUGCCCAGUCGUGGGGGAUAACUACUCGAAAGAGUAGCUAAUACCGCAUACGAUCUAUGGAUGAAAGCGGGGGACCGUAAGGCCUCGCGCGAUUGGAGCGGCCGAUGUCAGAUUAGGUAGUUGGUGGGGUAAAGGCUCACCAAGCCAACGAUCUGUAGCUGGUCUGAGAGGACGACCAGCCACACUGGGACUGAGACACGGCCCAGACUCCUACGGGAGGCAGCAGUGGGGAAUUUUGGACAAUGGGCGCAAGCCUGAUCCAGCAAUGCCGCGUGCAGGAAGAAGGCCUUCGGGUUGUAAACUGCUUUUGUACGGAACGAAACGGCUCUGGUUAAUACCCGGGGCUAAUGACGGUACCGUAAGAAUAAGCACCGGCUAACUACGUG
rnacentral:rRNA from 1 species